GCCGCAUCCACUUUAACAUGCUUGAAUGCAUCUGGACUUAAUUUAC
rnacentral:sRNA from 1 species